AAUCAAGAUCCCAAUUUUUACUAAAGGUUUCAUUUUUUUUUAAAAAAAAAAAGAUAGCAUGCUAUCUGUUUCGUUUAUUUAUUUAAUAGAUUUAACUGAAAAUAUGAAUCAAUUAAGGGACGUUUGGUUAGAUGUAAUUAUUGAUGCAAUGUAGUUGAAUAUGCAUGCAGUUGCAAUUACAUACAUGUCGUUUGGUUUGAUGUAGUAGAAAGUGCCGCAACUAUAAAUAGUUUGUCUGGUUGAAUGCAGUUGAGAAAUAAUUUUUAAACUUUUAUCGUUUUCUAUAUAUGAUUGUGAGAUUAUCUUCAAAAUAAAAAAAAAUUUAUUUUUAGUUCAAAAAUAAUUAAAGAGCUACGCUUAACUUUUGUUUAAAGUUAUUCUCUUCAACUACUACAGUUGAAACUGCGGCUGAUUUGGGCAUAAUUCCAACUGCCGCAGUUGAACCUCCUCCUGUAGCUCCUACUAUAGCAGUUGAAAUUAAAUAAUUCCAAACGCCAAAUUUGUAUUUGCAUGUAGUUACAAUUGCCGUAUAGUUACAACUACACGCAACUAAACUACUCCUAAAAUUCGAGCCUCGGACUUGCGUAUUAACCAUGAAGCCUUCGCCAU
rnacentral:lncRNA from 1 species